AGAGUUUGAUCCUGGCUCAGAUUGAACGCUGGCGGCAUGCCUUACACAUGCAAGUCGAACGGCAGCACGGGAGCAAUCCUGGUGGCGAGUGGCGAACGGGUGAGUAAUAUAUCGGAACGUGCCCAGUCGUGGGGGAUAACGCAGCGAAAGCUGUGCUAAUACCGCAUACGAUCUACGGAUGAAAGCGGGGGAUCGCAAGACCUCGCGCGAUUGGAGCGGCCGAUAUCAGAUUAGCUAGUUGGCGGGGUAAAAGCCCACCAAGGCGACGAUCUGUAGCUGGUCUGAGAGGACGACCAGCCACACUGGAACUGAGACACGGUCCAGACUCCUACGGGAGGCAGCAGUGGGGAAUUUUGGACAAUGGGCGCAAGCCUGAUCCAGCAAUGCCGCGUGCAGGAUGAAGGCCUUCGGGUUGUAAACUGCUUUUGUACGGAGCGAAACGGCUUCUUCUAAUACAAGGAGCUAAUGACGGUACCGUAAGAAUAAGCACCGGCUAACUACGUGCCAGCAGCCGCGGUAAUACGUAGGGUGCGAGCGUUAAUCGGAAUUACUGGGCGUAAAGCGUGCGCAGGCGGUUAUAUAAGACAGAUGUGAAAUCCCCGGGCUCAACCUGGGACCUGCAUUUGUGACUGUAUAGCUAGAGUACGGUAGAGGGGGAUGGAAUUCCGCGUGUAGCAGUGAAAUGCGUAGAUAUGCGGAGGAACACCGAUGGCGAAAGCAAUCCCCUGGACCUGUACUGACGCUCAUGCACGAAAGCGUGGGG
rnacentral:rRNA from 1 species